rnacentral:rRNA from 1 species
GACGAACCGUCCAAACGUUGUUCGGAAUCACUGGGCUUAAAGGGCGCGUAGGCGGGCUGACAAGUCAGGGGUGAAAUCCCACGGCUCAACCGUGGAAGUGCCUCUGAUACUGGCGGCCUCGAGGGAGGUAGGGGCGUGCGGAACUUCCGGUGGAGCGGUGAAAUGCGUAGAUAUCGGAAGGAACACCGGUGGCGAAAGCGGCGCGCUGGACCUCUUCUGACGCUGAGGCGCGAAAGCCAGGGGAGCAAAGCGGG